AAAUCUAAGCUCCUGUGCCAAAUUCAUUUAAACUUUCCUAACCCAAUGCUAACUCAAGUCUUCCCUGGUGCCUCCUACCCAGACGCUACCCAAGAUCUAGCUCUGAGUUCCUGAUUUGUUUUCCACUACCUCUGGGGUCUAGUGGCUAAGACUCUGUGCUGUCACCACUGUGGCCCAGGUUCGUUUCCGGUCAGGGAACCACACCACCCGUCUGUGGGUUGUCAUAUGUGACAGCUAUGUGUUCCUGUGAUGGUAAGAGGCCUCUGUGAGACAAAACCAUAGUGGACAGGUUUAAGCAGAGCUCCAGACUAAGACAGACCAGGAAGAAGGACCUGACCACCCACUUCCAAAAAAAUUAGCCAUGAAAACCCCAUGAAUAGCGGCAGAGCACUGUCUGGUACCGCACCGGAAGGUGGGAGGAUGGCGCAAGGAGUCGGACUCGACUGGACAGCACUAAUAAAUGCAAAUCCCUUCCUCAGGUAGGGCUUCUCUGAUUCAUAAUACCAGACCACGUGGGAGCUGCGGCCUUUGCCUACGGCUUGUUCACAGAGGCUGAAGAGGGAAACUGUCUUUGAGAACAAGCCCCAACAACACCUGGAGCAGUGAGUAAACUAACCUGGAAACGCUGACCCGUGGCUUUCCUUGGUGAAAAUGUGCCUGGUUUAUCCCCUGGAGCCACUCCCACCACUAGCUGUUCUGCAUAUGAAUUUGGGACCAUGUUUUUCUUCACACUUGGCUGGGAGCCUGAUUAUCUGAACCAUAACUAGGAGACAUGGGCAUUCUGAACAUCAAGACAGAACUGCUGAUAGAAACGGCAGAGCCCUUGCUGUUGGUUUUCUAAGUGCAGCAAGUUUCUGUGAUCCCAGGGGGAGUCUGGUCUGCCUUGGGGGUCCCGCUGGGGACAGAGUGGGCUCUAACCUGGAGGCACCAACCUGAACCUGGCUGACACUUAAGCUGACAAAACUUCAGCAGAGACGCAGGAACCAUCACUUCAGAAGCGCCGGGGCCUUUGAACUGAGGCUAGGCGGCUGGCCUAGAAAGUGGAGCAGGCACGCAGGCAGUCCUAACGAGGCGGGCUGGGGGGUCAAAGCCUUAUUUGCGUUCAUUUCACUCAUUAUUAUGUGGCAUUAGGGAAAUUUUCGGCUGAGCAGAGUGCCCUUGACAUGUAACUUCCUG
rnacentral:lncRNA from 1 species